rnacentral:lncRNA from 1 species
GGCAGGAACUGCAAAUGCUGCUUUGCCUGAAAUAACCAUGUCUAUAAGUGGAAAUUUGUAUGGCACUAGUGUCACUAUGACGGCCACGAUGGAUAAUUCGGCUGUGCCUGGGUUGGUAUCUUUACGAGCAGCAGAGUGCACUGCCGUAAAUCCUGACGACACAGCCAUAAGACAACCAUUGAGCGCCGAUUAUUGUUGGACUUAUGAAUCUACUCCCCCUUCAGGGUGGACGUUGGCUAAUUCGAAUCCGUUCGAAAUUGUAUCUCCGACAUUCGAACUGUUUAAGUUUGCUGGAACGUUCAAUAUUCGAUUUGUAUGUACUUUCACAUUCUGCACGUCUAAUACUAUAGCGCUUUGCGACCAUUCGCUGGCGGAGGUAAGUCACCUUCACAUCUCUGUUUAUCUUAUGCCUAUAAGAUACAUAAGCUGUACUCAGAAUAGAAGUUAUUACACUUGUGGCAAAGUCCGUGUUAUGGUUACUUAUAAUUGGCUGGCACGCCCCCUCGCAAAGCAACAUAGAAAACAUCAUGGGCCACAAAGUUUUCCCGACUUAACCACAGUACUUAAGUUUCGAGAGGGGGGGGGACGUGCCGGACAAUUCGGCUGAUUAUAUGGACUACGCUUUACCAAGAAUCCCCGCUUAGAUAGAUCGAUCUUGCUACUGCCAUAAAAUUUAUUCUUAACACAGCCAUAAAUUUACACAGCAUAUUAGAUAAUCAACCAUCAAAUUUAUUCGUUUAUUUUUCUACCUGUACAUGUAAUUAUACUAGAUUGAUUACUGUAUCUUUAUUGAAGCUGGCCUCUUUGUUUUUAAAAUGCGUUUUCUUUUGGAUGCUUCUUGAUAUUGUCCAAUUUCAAAUUGUUAGAAGGCAUAAUCUCCUGUUUUUCGGUAAGUCCGUUCCACGGUAAAUUCAUAAAGCCCCUCUCAUUUCUGUCAUUGGCCAAAAACCAUCCAUGUACUGUGAUGCAUAAUCCAGUUGUUUUUGUUUGGUUACUUGUCCUAUUAACAUUUUUGAAGCAUAACCCAUUACAGUGCAUACUUCUAUGAUGUGCUACAUGACUUAUGUUUCAUCAUAACAUCAUCUGACGUUUUUAAGGAUAAUAAUCAGUGCGAUGCAAAAGAUGCUGCCCGCCGUAAGCGGUCCAUAAAGACGGCCAACGAAACCUCGCAUGAAUCUGUUACCGCCAGUGUUAUUGUGGAAUUUGGAAAAACACCGAUUGCGCCUUCGGCAAAAUCAGAGGAACCACCGGUCGAAAAUUGCAGCAACCAAGAAGUCUUUAUUGCCAUAACUUCCGUUGUUGCUGUGGUCUUAUUCCUUGCCGUGCUUGUUAUCGUAUUCAUGUUUAAGAAGUUGACAAGCCUCAGACGUCAAGAUGACAAGCUAGGUGCCACCAAUCCUGCGUUUUAACAAGUGGAUUUUUAAAUGGAAUCGACUAACGGACUGCCGCAAAUGAAAUCAUCGUCAUUACAACUUCAAGCCAAAUAUUUAAACUGAAUUUAAGCUAUGCUAUGAGUGCUAAGAGGAUUAACGUGAACGUUCUUUAUGGUUUUGAUAUGACGGUUUGUUCAUAGAAUAAGUGUAACAUGGUACUCUGGAAAACCUCAAUUGCCAAAUUUGCUUAUAUGUUCCUUUUCAAAAGAACCAACCCCAGUAUCGAAACCCUGCAACAUCUACAAUCUACAUGUUGGUCUACCCUAAAAAUUCUCCGAUAUAAUCCAUUGGUCUACCCGCACUUCUCGCUUUAAACCUCCACAAUCCUUCAACUGGGACAAGCAAUGUGCAAACCUCACGUGAUACGAAGAAAUUUCCAAACUGUUAUCGGUGUUAUUGUAAAACCUCUGUAGUGAUCACGCCAUGUUAAACUAUCUUGUUGUAUAUUAAGAUUUUUGCAUUUCCACUAAUUUCGUUUCCACUUGGUUGCCCUUUCUUCUGAUUCAUUUGUGGUAUCGAUUCGACAAGGACGUUAUCUUUGACAAUUGUAACCUACGGUAAAUAAGAAGGCAUGGUGGCCGACAACUUGUAUAUUACUCAGCACCACGUUAUCUUGUUUCUUAAAAAACUAAUGAAAACACCGUCUGCUAGAUCUGCAUGAAUUAACAUGUAGUGCAUUUUCAGUAAUUCGAAUAUUUUAAAUGUUUGAUUUGUAAUUAAUAACCAUGCUUUUACACGUAUGUCAUCAGUAAUACUUUUGAAUUCAACCGUCUUAUCGAGCUCCAUGAAACCCUUUUUUUUUAUUUCCGAGAACAAGAUAUUGCAGGUGUUGUAUGAAACGAUCCCCGUUGCAAGAAGAUCAUGGUUGUAAGGGAUAAUGCCGUUCUGGUUGCAUAUUAAAUGCACGUACACAUCUUUGUACUAAUACCUUUACAAGAGCUUGGCGAAAGCACGUUCAAGUAGUCACUUGCAUUGUAUCAAUUUAUAUACUAGAACUAGAAGGCCUUCUUGUAUAUUGUUUCUUAAAUAACAAAUCCUCGGCGUAAUUGGCACCAAGGCAACCGAUUUGUGAAGGCCCAUGUGUGUUGUAUCACCUGAAAGUAAGGCAAUGAAAAUAAGUACCAAUCUUCCCCAUUGUUCCCUUAGGAAAUCUCUGAACAAUUCAGUCCACGUGGAUUGAACAGUCUGGUGCAAAAGCGGGAAAUGGAUUGUUCAGCAGAGGCAUGGCGACCAUGUUAUUUUACCUGGUGACACUACAUGUAUAUGUUUAUGCAUCUGCACUUAUUGUGUUGAAUGGUAUUUUUGUUUUUGGUUAAUUAAUCGAUUUUGAUCGCUCGUUUUGUGAUGGACGUGUAAGUUACCUGACAAUGAUAGAACGCAAUUAAUUACUUUAUUUUCUCUUUCUUGUUUUUGCUUUUAAAUACAGAAUUGCAUCAACGAUAUGCUGUAAAUAGAAAGUAUAUGUGUACUCCCUUCUCACUAGUUGUGAUAAUUUCUAUGUUUUGUUUUGUUUUUCUCUGAUCCUCAGCUGUUCGGUUGUUUUCCUGUGUGGAUUAUGGAUUCCAACUCACUAGAGCUUUUCAGAUUUUUUCCUAAAUCUUUUUAUGUUUCGUAUACUACCAUGAGUUUAUAAUAAGAAAUAUUUCGAUAAGUCUUUCGAUCAUGAAAAUUACAUCGAUUACAUGCAGUGUAGAUGACGAGUGUUCUCUGAUAAUACACAGGCAUAUUAUUAGAUGUAAUACCGGUGGUUAAAAGAUAUUUGACAUAAUUGGAUCCAAUUUCACAUUUAUUGGCUUGGGAAGCGAAAUAUAAUAUUCGGAAAGCAAA